rnacentral:lncRNA from 1 species
GGGGCUCGCACCCCUACUGGUCCCUAUAGGGGAUCCUAGGGGGGGUGUUCCCAUCCUAUAUGGCCCCGGGAGGGGGUCUAUAGGGUCCUGGGGGGGGCUUUGUCCCUGUAUGGGGGCAGCAGCCCCUAUAUGUCUGCCUGUGUGCCCCUUAUAGCGCCCUGCAGAGGGGGAGCCCCCCUGGGCUGCCCUAAAGGGCCCUAUAGGGGCAGGGGUCUCCAUACGUUCCCAUAUAGGGCCCUGUGCGAGGGGACCUAUAGGGCUGGGGCUCCCCUAUAGGGCUGGGGACCCUCUCCUCCCCCUAUACAGCCCUUGGGGGGGCGACCCUAUACGUUCCUGGGGUGGUCUGGGUGCUUUCCAUAGGGUCUUGGGUUCUUCCUUAUUUUUUUUUGUGCUCUUUCCAGACUUUUUAAUCAUUUUCCCCAUUUUUUAUGUCGUUUCCCAGGCUUUUUGCCAUCCCUCUCCAACCCCAACGUGAGCCAAACUCUUUUUUUCAGCCUUUUUGCCCUAAAUCGGCGCGCUUUUAGGGCUUUGUGUUAUUGGGGCGGUCGUUUUGGGGGCAAAUCAGGCAGAAAUGGGAAGCUCGGGAAGGAUUCAGCUCCACAAGCCUGGCGUUGGGGCUCCCUCUGCAGCCAAAAGAGGGAAAAAAAAGAGAAUUUAGGGACACUGCGUCCCGGGGAGCUUGGGGGGGGGUCUGAAACGCUUCCACCUCCAGCUUUUUGGGGCUAAAACAUCAGGAAUUGAGCACUGGAUGUCCCCUUAUGUUCCAGCAAACUGAUAUUUAUUUACCCAAGUCGAUAUUUAAUUACCCAAAUCAGUAGUUAUUUACCCAAAUCCAUAUUUAAUGCAUUUUGACUCAUUUUGGGGCUCCUUUGGACCCAUUUUGGGGCUCCUUUUCCACCCAUUUGUUCCCACCAUGCUCCUUUUUGACCCAUUUUUUCUCCCUCGCACUACUUUUGACCCAUUUUUUUUCCCCACAUCCCAUUUUGGGGCUCCUUUUGACCCAUUUUCCCCCACACACUCCUUUUUGACCCAAUUUUUCCCCCCCACAUCCCAUUUUGGGGCUCCUUUUGACCUGUUUUUCCCACACACACUCCUUUUUGACCCAUUUUUCCCACCUCACAUCCCAUUUUGGGGCUCCUUUCCACCCAUUCUGGGGCUCCUUUCAACCCACUUUUCCCCACCACUCUCCCUUUUGGCUUGUUUUUUCCCCCCUCCACUCAUUUUGGGGCCCCUUUUCACCCAUUUUCCCCCACCACUCUCCUUUUUGACCCAAUUUUUCCCCCCACAUCCCAUUUUGUGUCUCCUUUCUACCCAUUUUUCCCCCCACAACCUCCUUUUUGACCUGAUUUUUUCCCCCACAUCCCUUUUUGGGGCUCCUUUUGACCCAUUCUGAGGCUCCUUUCCACCCAUUUCCCCCCCCCACUCUCCAUUUUGACCCAUUUUUCCCACCUCACAUCCCAUUUUGGGGCUCCUUUUGACCCACUUUCCCCCCACACACUACUUUUUGACCCAGUUUUUCCCCACACAUCCCAUUUUGGGGCUCCUUUCCACCCAUUUUGGGGCCCCUUUUGACCCACUUUUCCCCACCACUCUCCUUUUUGACCCAUUUUUCCCACUGCACGUCCCAUUCUGGGGCUCCUUUCCAUCCAUUUUUCCCCCCACACACUACUUUUUGACCCAAUUUUUCCCCCCACA